ensembl:lncRNA
GUUUAGUAGGGGAAACCCUCUGUUGAGAGGCAGGAUUGUUAACAUUCUUAGGGUGAAAGUCCCUAGGUGGCGUUGUUGGUUCUGUGUUAAAAGAAACCACAAGACCCUCACCAGUCCUAACUUGGUUACACUAAGCUGACUUCUGGAUCAUCUCCGUCACUCUUCAGUCCUCCGUCCGAUUCCCAUCUGCCGUCGCUGCCGAGACCACCAGCUCCUGUCCCCAGCACUUUACGGCCCCAACACGAGCUUUUUCUAGGCUGUUUUAGAGUUACGUUUGUCAUAGUUGAAUGCAAUCUUUUUGUGUAUGAUUGUCAGUCCGAAGAGGGAGAGAUGAAAAAGGGGAAGGAGAGGAGAGCGUUUAAGGUCAGGAAGAACCAGGUAAGAAAACAAACAGAGAACAGUGGCAGCAGAACAACAACUGUUAAGCUGACAAGCAUUUAAAUAACCUUUAUCAGAUUCGAUGGUUUAGUCACAGACUUUGUCAAAAAAUGUUCUGCUUUUCUUUCACAAAUGUGGGAAUGAAAUUGCGUUAAAAUGUACAAAACAGUGAAAUGUAUCUUGCCUGUCCGGGCACCUCUGGGUGCUCAGCACCAGUGUUACCAACUCCUCAGUAAGGAAAGUAGCUAUUGGCUGUCCUAAAAGUCGCUAAAUGACGUCAUCGCCUAAUUUGCACAGUUUCCCGGUAAUUGUAAUCAACGUUGUAGGAGAGACAGAAAGUGAGAAUAAAACACCCAAAAUGUGUUUCUGAACUAGAGGCUGAAUGCAGGGAUUUAUUUUAGUGACAGUGAAGAAACAUUUUCAUUUCCAUCCCGCUCUGUAAGCAGGACGGAUCUGCAGAGACUUUGAUUCAUCUGCCGUCUGGACAUGGAGUGAUGUGGGUCUCCUCUAAUCAGACAGUAGGAUGCUGCAGGUCACUAGACUGACCGCCUGUGCUUUGGAAGGGGAGGAGCUCACAGCGCCACCUGCUGCUCGUUGAGGACGGUAACUACAGAACGAUCCCAGCUUUCAUGUCAGACAGGGGCGGAUCCAGAUUCAUUUUAGUGGGGGGGCACAGGGGGGUACAACAGAUAUUUUGGGGGGAUUGUAAGAAAAAAUGAAAGCUGCUACUGACCUCUCGCUUUUACAAAGUAUUUUACAUGUUUUUUUUUUUGGCUCUUUAA